rnacentral:rRNA from 1 species
GACGAACGCUGGCGGCGUGCUUAACACAUGCAAGUCGAACGGAAAGGCCCUGCUUGCAGGGUACUCGAGUGGCGAACGGGUGAGUAACACGUGGGUGAUCUGCCCUGCACUUCGGGAUAAGCCUGGGAAACUGGGUCUAAUACCGGAUAGGUGCCAUUUUUAGUGUGAUGGUUGGAAAGUUUUUUCGGUGUAGGCUGAGCUUGCGGCCUAUCUGCUUGUUGGUGCGGUAAUGGCCUACCGAGGCGGCUUCGGGUAGCCGGCCUGUGGGGGUGGACGGCCACCUUGGGACUGAGGGACGGCCGCAACACCUACGGGAGGCAGCUGUGGGGAAUCCUGCCCGAUGGGCGCAAGCCUGAUGCAGCGACGCCGCGUGGGGUAUGACGGUCUUCGGGUUGUAGACUCCUUUCGCUAGGGACGAAGCUUAUUGUGACGGUACCUAGAUAAGAAGCACCGGCUAACUACGUG